CAGGAUCAUGUAAGAUCUUAAGCUUAAGUCAAAAUUUGAAUAUUGUGAUGAAGUGACUGAGAAGUCAAUCAUUCCAAAAUAAAAUUGUUAUUCAUUAAUUAUUACUUCAUUCACUUUCUAGCGUCUGCAAACUAAGAGUUCCGGUUCAAAAGUAACAAACAUUUCACAGGUGAUUGAAAUUUUGACUUAAGUAUGAGUUUGGUGUAUGAUCCCAGGGCCUGACAGAUUUCCGUAUCAUAACAUACAUUAUGGAACAACAGUACACAUGGGUUUUUCGUUUAUUAUGCUACAUGAAACGAACGCAUUGUCAAAACAAAGAAAUACAUGUAGCUGUGCGUUAAAACUACACCGUUAUCUAUGCGUUUACUUGGUAUGUUCAAGUUAUUCGUUUACAUGUACAUGUUGCACUUUUACUUGGUAUGUACAAUUUAUGCUUUUACUCAAUUUGGGCGCAUUUUGUAUGUAUGGAGAGUGGAAUGAAUCAUAUAUAUUUUUAUCGAACUGACAACAAUGGCGGCAAUCCUCGCAACCAUACACUCUGCAAACUGGUAAGUAUUCAAAUUAAUACAUGAUGCGUAUAUAACAUGCUGACAGAACAUCAAUAAUUAGCCCAUCUUACUCAAAUGGGGGUUUUAAUCGGUUACAUAACAUAAAGAACUUUCUAUCUCUCUCUUUGUAAUUAUAAAACCUUGUUUUCUCCAUUGGGGUGGUGAAUGGAUGGGAAUGGCGGCAAGAAUGAGAUUCGGUAUGCUGUGGAAUCAAAUCAAAAGCUUUCAAUGCAAUUUAAUGGUUAAUGAAAUAUGAUACUAAGUUGCUCCCUGUAUGUAACUCAUUUUCGAGAAUAUAUGUACUAUUAUACUCGUCAGAGGAAGUCCAAUAUAUCGCACCCGGUGUCCCACGCUGUGUUCACUGGACAACCACAAUACUUCAGUCCACUGAUUUAUACGUAUCAGUUUCGGAUGGAGGGAGAGAGAGGGAGAGAGAGAGAGGGAUCAACCUAUAUGGAUGUCUCUGGAUUCUAAUACUCUCAUCCGUUAAACACCUUAUCAGUCGGAGGAACAGCCGGUCAGCCUUUUUCAGCUAAGGAAGAUUAUAUUAUGGAAUAUAGAAACAGGUCAGCUAACAAAGGAGCACAAUUUGUGCCCAUAGAAAUUCAAACAGACUGUUGGACAACUUGAUCACCAAAUACCAUGAAGAUAUUGUCAAUGAGGAAUAUAUUCAACUUCAGAGUACUUGUGCGUGGAAUCAGAGUGGUGUUUAGCAAACAAUACUUGACAAAACAACACCUAUAUUGAUGUAUUGGAAGGGUGUGUCUGGAGCAAAGCAUGCUAAAGCUAAGAAUCCUUACAAGAACUCUGGACCAAAUAGGAGGCUGACUCGUUUUCAUGAGUUCCUCGUCACACGUUUACGACUACGCCUGGCUUCACCGACAUUUGUUGAUGCUGAUAGCUUUGGUAUUUCAUGUACAAGGGUGUCACAAUGUUUUACAACAUGGAUUAAUUACAUGAAUAUUGUAUUUUCACCACUUUUGAAAAGACUAAAUUCCAAAUGUUUGAAAAACUUUAUGCCAAAAUGUUUUAAAUUAACUUUUCCCAAAUCAGCCUGUAUCAUUGAUUGUACUGAGUUCUUUAUUGAAAGGUCAUCUACACCAACAGCUCAGAUAAGAACAUUUAGCUCUUCUAAGCAAAAAUCGCAUUUAAUGCUUUCGUUGCUAUAGCUCCUUCUGUUGGUUUUGUGUUUGUUUCAAAUUUGUGGGGAGGCAAUGCUUCUGACAGGUACAUAACUGAACAUAGUGGAUUUUUAGAUAUUUUAAAGCGUGGUGACGAAGUGAUGGGAGAUAGGAGUUUUUUUUUUUUAUAAGAGACUUAUUGAUAAAGAGAAGAGUUGCAUUGAAUACACCACCAUUUACCAAAAAGUGUUCAUGGGGAAAGGGUAAACAUCUUACUGCAAGUGAAGUUUUGAAAAAAAAUGCAAAACUUCGAAUUCAUGUUGAAAGGGCAAUAGGCAGAUGGAAGAACUAUAAAAUACUAUCACACACUAUGCCUUUAAAAAUCAACCCUUUGUGUAAUCAAAUUCGGAGAGUGUGCAUUCUUAAGUAAUUGUCAACAACCUUUAGUGAAUGAGAUGUAUACGAUUACAUAGAUGAAAUGUCUGUGUCAGCAGUUGAUUCAUGUAACAACUGUACAUGUAUAUAUGUCUUAUAGUCUUUAUGCCUGUGUCAGCUGUUGAUUCAUGUAACAAAUAUACAUGUACAUAUGUCUUAUAGUCUUUAUGCCUGUGUCAGCAGUUGAUUCAUGUAACAACUGUAUAUGUCUUAUAGUCUUUAUGCAAUGAAAUUCCACUUAGA